UGUAAAAAAAAAAAAAAAAUUAUAUAUAUAUAUAUAUAUAUAUAUAUAUAUAUAAAUAUAUAUUGCUUAAGACAAAAAACAGAUAAUGAAAGGACAGACAAGCAGCUCAUUCAAGCCAUCCAACUUUUACUCACAUUCCUUUUUCUUUUACUUUAACUUUCCUUUCUUCUUACGUCGAGAGUCUCGUGUUCUAAGUUAAGUUUUGCUGCAAAGUUCAACCAAAGACUCAAACUUAAGCCGCAACAAACCAACUAACUGAAUACAUUCCAGGGGUAUAAAAGGGGAUGAGACUGACUUCUAAGGAAGUGUAUCAUUCGGGGUUUCGGAAUUGACGUCAUUUCUGGUGCGCCGUGUUUAUGUCCUGGAGGUAAGAGCUAUUGGUGGCAGUUGCAUUACGAAUAUUUUAUGUUAGAAGGGGUAACUUGCACACCAUAGGCUAAUUUCGCACUUCCACGUUAGUUGCUUCCGGUUAUCCAGAAGCAAGUCGUUCUGUUGUGUGCCUCAGUGUAGCAAUUCAAAACAAAAACAACCUUAUUUCAGUUUUCACGACUUCCCAUCAAAUGCACAUCAAAGAAUAAGUGGGUAUGUGCAAUCAGAAGAGAUGAAGGGUCGACGUUUGUAAUUUGCAGAGGCAGUACGUUAGUCUGUAGUCAACAUUUCACCACUGCUGACUACAUUCAGGGAAGUUGUCGUCUGAAGGUUGGUGUAGUUCCCAGUCGUUUUCAGUGGAACAAUUUUUAUGUACUACCUUAAAAGCAGUCUGCACUCGAGAGAUCUAGUGCUCAACAAGGGGUAGAUGUGUGUGCCCCGAAGAGUAUGGAUGUCCUGACUAAUGAUAGUUUGGAAGUUAGCAUCAAGGACCAUGACUACGUGGCACACACCCCUCCCGGUAAGUAUCUGAGUUUAAGUGUAGAGGCAAAAUGUUCACACAGUAGUGUAAAUAUUUGGGUACUUCAGAAGUCAGAACCUGCACCUGGAAAACAUCGUAUAAUAUUCAGUUAUCAUUAUGAACUUGCAAAUUUGUAUGCUAAUGAAGAGUAAGACAAUAAAAUACUUAUUAUAUUACUUUUCAAAUGUAUUAUACUGUGUUUUUCCAACUCUAUACAUUAUAUACACUGGCUUUUAGAGCUGCUUUACAGCAGGUUUAAAAGUGUUUGCAUCUCUGAAUUCACUGUUUAUUCUUGUAACGGUGCUUUGAUCAGUAUUGUAUAAAGUGCUACAUAAUUAAUCCACUUGAGUAGUUUCAUGUUUUUUUUUCUUUUCAUUUCUUUAUUUAACCUUUAAAUUUGUUUGUCAUUUUGUAGGUGCACUGGAUGAAGCCUUGGAAUACAUGGCAGAGCUGGAGGCUAGGCUAAAGAGAAUUUCACUGGAGACACCAACUACUUUUAGUAGGUUUUGUGUGUCUGAUCACACAAUCCGCUACUACACCAGGCUUCCCUCACAAGAAGUUUUUCAGAUCUUCUGGGAGUCUGUUUGUCCAUCUGCCACAAACCUUGUGUACUGGACAAAAGCACAGAGGAUGGGUCAAGAAGCUUCCCCAACACCAAGUCCUGCACGGAAAAUCCAGCUCAUGGAUGAGCUCUUCAUGUACUGCUGCCGUGUAGCUGCUGGCCUUAGGAAGAAAGUAAUUGCUGACAUCUUUAUUGUAAGCAUGGCCACAGUAAGCAGGACAGUCAUAAAAAAAAUGGACCGAAAGCAUGAUGACUGCAGGGUUUUUUUUAGUGCAAUCAGCUUGGUGAAAUUAAAAAUACAAUUCGUGUCUGUGACAGACGGUGUUUACGGAGCAUGACUGAUGAUCCAAAAUAGCCUAAGCUGACUAUUAAAAAGAAAAACAUCAAUACACAAAUAAAAUAUCCUCUGGAUGGUUAUGUCUGAUUGUGUGUCAGUCACAAAGUCACACCACUGCAGACCGGUUACUGCAAGCUGGCCUUGAAACUGCGAAUAAUAUUUGUGUUUCUUUGAGUUUGGCUUGACCUUUUGGAUUUUAAUGAAUGAAGCCUGACCUACACUUUCAGCAGAGGUGCUUUUCACUUCCACCAGACCGAAUGGGAAGAUUUCAGAUGGGUCAUAUACUCUCCCAUCUGGACUGGCUCCCAGAUGUGCCGCAAGUAUGUGUGCUGCCAAUGACUGGCUAGCAGAUUCUCCAAACACAUGACAAACUUCCCUGAACCUGCUUGAGGUGACUCUUGGUUGACGUACUUGUGCCAGGCAGCACGUUUUGGCUGUAGUCUAAUACCGCGCUCAAUCUGACUAGAUAAGAUGUGGGACACUUGUAUGGACUGCAAAUGAAAGGACUGGCCGUGAAUGGGAACAAAGAUUCGUACUAAGCUGACUACCAGGCACUGGCAGAUUGCUGAUCUUCCUGCUGUAGAUUUCCCCAGUCGGGAGUGGAUAGUGAUAGGAAAGAGGGCUGCCAUGAGGUAAAUGACCAAACUGCGAGUGGACCAACUCCAUUUUUGACAUCCCUCCUAGUAUAUGAGCCAACAAAGGUUUUGGGUGAUCACCUUGACGACCGGAAUGUGUUCCCAGCCUGUGGUGGCGCAUUGAGAUUCAGGAGGCUCGAACCUUAUUGACCUGAGGAUUUGAAGUGGGAAUUGGGGUACCAGUACUAGCCGGUGUCCUUUGUGUGUGGUGGUGGUGCGGCUGUCGGUCUGCAGCGUUCACAACGGGGGUAUUGGUGCUGUAUUGAUGUGUUUAUCCGAUAGGCAAGACGAAUUCCCCAGUUCUGAAGUGAUAAAAUUGUGUUUGUGUGGAUGUGCAAGAAGUUUAUGAUUGAUGUACCUUUUUUAAUUUUUAUACAUUAAAGAGACUGGACUAUUUUCUUGAAAGUGUUUAUUGAAUAAAUUGUGUGAAACAUUCCAUCAUUUUCCGAUAUCUGUCUCAGCCACUACGUAUCUGUGUGCUUGUGGUACUUCGUGUACCUGUGGGUCCCCGGCCAAUUUCCGGGGUGAAGUAGUGUAUUUGUUGCCAUAAUUGGCGCCGUGUUAAGCUUUUGAUAGCAGACUGCGUGGUGAGAAAUAUCACUUAUGAAAAAAGAAUUCAUUACAUUUGGUUAUCCAUAUUGGAAAAUGCAAAUGGGUUCUAUAGAAACUAUGCCUAUAGAAUCAAUAUCUAUCUUUAGAUGUAAAAAAUGGUUCAUUUAUUAAUCAUUAAAUGAGUUGGAUUAAAUAAUAGACAAAUGUAUUAAACUGAAUGAAAAGCGAUGCAAAUCAAAAGUUUGAUAGUAAUAGCAUUAUGAAAGGCAGUUACUGUAAACAAAACAUUUAUAAAGAUGAAACACUUACUUUGUUAUAUUAGUACUAAGAGUUUUGAAAAUGUACCAAUUUUGCUUGUGAAAACUGCACCAAAGCAAUUAAAAAACCUGUAAAACAUAAUAAAGCCUUUGGGAACUCUAUAACCACAUUUAAUUAGCUUUAGUUGUGAGGCAAGCAUAAACUGAACCCAUGAAUGUGCUGAAACUGAAUAGCAAAUAUAGCCAAGACAGAAACAAAAAAAGAGUCCUGUCUGAAAGAGAUUACAAGAAUAUCGUUCCUUGGUUAUAUAUAUUAUUAUACAGUAGCUCUGGUGUAAACAUCAAUAUUUUCUUAAAAUUAGAACAGCUUUUAAAACUUAAUUAAGAGUUAUCGUCCUUCAUGUGAACAGAACUACAAACUGUUAUACUUGGCAG